rnacentral:rRNA from 1 species
UGAGGAAUAUUGGUCAAUGGGCGAGAGCCUGAACCAGCCAAGUCGCGUGAAGGAAGACAGUCCUAAGGAUUGUAAACUUCUUUUAUACGGGAAUAACGGGCGAUACGAGUAUUGCAUUGAAUGUACCGUAAGAAUAAGCAUCGGCUAACUCCGUGCCAGCAGCCGCGGUAAUACGGAGGAUGCGAGCGUUAUCCGGAUUUAUUGGGUUUAAAGGGUGCGUAGGUUGUUCGGUAAGUCAGCGGUGAAACCUGAGCGCUCAACGUUCAGCCUGCCGUUGAAACUGCCGGGCUUGAGUUCAGUGGCGGCAGGCGGAAUUCGUGGUGUAGCGGUGAAAUGCAUAGAUAUCACGAGGAACUCCGAUUGCGAAGGCAGCUUGCCAUACUGCGACUGACACUGAAGCACGAAGGCGUGGGUAUCAAACAGGAUUAGAUACCCUGGUAGUCCACGCAGUAAACGAUGAUUACUAGGAGUUUGCGAUAUACCGUCAAGCUUCCACAGCGAAAGCGUUAAGUAAUCCACCUGGGGAGUACGCCGGCNACGGUG